ACCAAACGCCGGGGUAAGGCGCCCGAGUCGGGACGCUCAUGAGAACCCGUGAAGGGUGUUGGUUGCUUAAGACAGCAGGACGGUGGCCAUGGAAGUCGGAAUCCGCGAAGGAGUGUGGUAACAAUCCUGCCCGAAGCAACUACCCGAAAAUGGAGGCGCUCUAGCGUCGGGCUAUCGGAAGAUAAACAAUGCAUGACAGCACGAAAUAGUGGCAGUGGAUAAAGACGCCGACGAGUAGAGGCCCAGCGGAUGUUGCGUUUUGAAUGUGUCCGGAGCGUGAGCCCGCCUGGAGCCGCCGCUGGUGCAGAUAUUGGUGGUAGUAGCAAAUACUCAAGUGAGAUCCCUUGAGAAUGAAAGUGAAGGGUUCCAGUGACAGCUUGAAAUGGGUCAGUCGGUCCUUAGGGAAAGGAGAAAUCCUUUCAGAAGCGGGCGCGUUUGUGCAGCUCAGUCUGUGAUACGGAGACGCCCCGCUGCAACCAAAAGGGAAUCGGGUUAACAGUCCCGAACCCGGCUACGGAGAUCGGCUCUUCGGAGCCCAGUGCGGCAACGCAAACCAGCUCGGAGACGCCGAUGGGAGCCCCGGGAAGAGUUUUCUUUUCUCUGUAAGGAGAUCGAGUCCCUGGAAUGGGUUCACCCCGAGAUAGGGAGGUGGCGUAGCGGCUUGCGCUGUCCGGUGCGCUCCUGUCGGCCCUUGAAAAUCCGAGUGAGGGAGUGUGAUUUUCGUGCCGGACCGUACCCACAUCCGCAGCAGGUCUCCAAGGUGAACAGCCUCUAGUCGAUAGACCAAUGUAGGUAAGGGAAGUCGGCAAAACGGAUCCGUAACCUUGGGAAAAGGAUUGGCUCUGAGGGCUGAGCCGGUCGGGCUGGGGUCCAGAAGCAGGAACGGCACUGCACCGGGACUGGGCGAGGCUCGCCGCCGUAAAAAGCGGUGCGGCCGAGCCCGGACCAGCGUAGGGACCUUCCUGUGGAAAGCCACAGCUGUGCAUUUUCCGUGGGCUUCGCGCCUGAGGUUCUUGCUUCGGCCGGCAGAAAACAGCCAACUCAGAACUGGCACGGACCGGGGGAAUCCGACUGUCUAAUUAAAACAAAGCAUUGCGAGGGCCGUUGAUCGGUGCUGACGCAAUGUGAUUUCUGCCCAGUGCUCUGAAUGUCAAAGUGAAGAAAUUCAAAAAAGCGCGGGUAAACGGCGGGAGUAACUAUGACUCUCUUGUCACAGAACCCACCACGCUCGCAUCAAAAGGCAUGACAACAUUUUGAGGUACUUGGCAGGUAGGCUGACUGAGCUUGGAUGGCAGGUGCAGCAAGAAAGACACUUCAAAACAUCACAGGGUACGAAGAUCCCGGAUCUUGUCAUCAUAAAGCGGGAGAAAUCCCAUAUCCUGGAUGUGCAGGUGGUGAGCACGCGAGUUGAAGUUACGGAGGCUCAUCACCACAAAUGCGAUAAAUACAAAAUCCCUGAUCUGCUUUUCCAAGUCUCACCUACGCCUACCGUCUCAAGUGUCACCCUGUCAUAGAGGAACAUCUGGGGCGUGAAUCUGAGGAUCUGGCAGGAGUGUAUAUGACAAGGAAUGACUUCAAUGAGGAUCAAGGUUGCCCUAGCAGGGGGGCUGCGGGCUUUAAAAUGCACCAAAUUCGACAGCGGGUCACGUUCGUCGGGGAGUGGGCUCAGGGCUGAAUCAAGUUCCCAGCACCACAGUGUGUGCGUUCCUUUGUCACUCUGCCUUUCAGAGGAAGUUUUCUUGGAUCCUGAUCUCUCACCAGUAAUUGGGAGAGGAGGAGCCUAUCAGCUAGGACGGCAGGCAACCUCGAAGCUGUAAUCUCAGUGGGUGAUUGGUAUCUGGAAAAAAAAAAAAAAAAAAAAAAAAAAAAUGCAAAUCCGUCAUCUAAUUAGUGACGCGC
rnacentral:rRNA from 1 species